UACAACAAAAACAAAUUCAUAAAAUCCAAAAAAAAAAAAUAAAAAAAAAAAAAAAAGAAUAAAAGUAGCGAAUGGAAGCCCGUUGGGUUUGUGCCGGAAGAAGAGCGGGGCCUGCGCUUGUUUACAUUUCUAAGCCACUUCUAAGGACGCUGUCGGGCGCGCUUCGACUGUUUGGAGAGUGUGAGAAAGGAGGUCUCGACGGAUUCGCCACUCCCACUACAAUGCGCUGCCUUCGGCGCCGGCGGUCGGGCCCCCGAGAUUUACCCGCGGCAAUCUGUUUGUUUUUCCUCCGGGUGACGGACGAAAGCGACGCGUUUGUCCUGUCGUCAAAAGGCGCUUUGUCACUGUCUCCCGCAUUAUCUUUGGGGUAGGUCCGCUUUUAUAACAUGUCGUGUCGAACGUCUUCCGGCCGACGCGACCGAUACCUACCUGAUUAACUAAAACCGCAGUUUUGUUCUUUUAAUUGGCCCAUCGGGAGGCGUUGGACAUCGUUAAGUGCGAAAUAAGUUGGCCCGCCUAUCGGUUGCCAGUUAGUUAAUCUGGAUGAAAUAAUUAAGACGGUUAAUUACUGUACAAAACUUUGUUUCCGAGCGAUGCGGAUCAUGGUUCUAUCGUAUGUCUGUUUUUAGUAGCAUCAAAAAUUCUUUAAAGGGUUUGAUAGUAACGCUGGGAUAAAAAGGAAUGGACCGACGUGGUAGAAAAUAUUAUAUCUCUAACUAUCGACAAAUUUUUUCUGGUAAGGAAGCUUGUGCUAGUUCGACACUCCGUUAAAAUUUCCUAUCCCUGAUAAGGGGCUUCUAAUAAUAAUUCUAACUUGUUUUUUUCUUUUCUUGGCAGGAACACACCUUCGACUGGGAAGGAGUACAUCGAGUUUCCGUCAACGUCAGCAACCAACAC
rnacentral:lncRNA from 1 species